GACUAGAGUGUGUCAGAGGGAGNUAGAAUUCCACGUGUAGCAGUGAAANGCGUAGAGAUGUGGAGGAAUACCGAUGGCGAAGGCAGCCUCCUGGGAUAACACUGACGUUCAUGCUCGAAAGCGUGGGUAGCAAACAGGAUUAGAUACCCUGGUAGUCCACGCCCUAAACGAUGUCAAUUAGCUGUUGGGCAACUUGAUUGCUUAGUAGCGUAGCUAACGCGUGAAAUUGACCGCCUGGGGAGUACGGUCGCAAGAUUAAAACUCAAAGGAAUUGACGGGGACCCGCACAAGCGGUGGAUGAUGUGGAUUAAUUCGAUGCAACGCGAAGAACCUUACCUGGUCUUGACAUGUACGGAAUCCUCCAGAGACGGAGGAGUGCCUUCGGGANCUGUAACACAGGUGCUGCAUGGCUGUCGUCAGCUCGUGUCGUGAGAUGUUGGGUUAAGUCCCGCAACGAGCGCAACCCUUGUCANUAGUUGCCAUCAUUUAGUUGGGCACUNUAAUGAGACUGCCGGUGACAAGCCGGAGGAAGGUGGGGAUGACGUCAAGUCCUCAUGGCCCUUAUGACCAGGGCUUCACACGUCAUACAAUGGUCGGUACAGAGGGUAGCCAAGCCGCGAGGUGGAGCCAAUCUCACAAAACCGAUNGUAGUCCGGAUUGCACUCUGCAACUNGAGUGCAUGAAGUCGGAAUCGCUAGUAAUCNCAGGUCAGCAUACU
rnacentral:rRNA from 1 species